UCAUAGAGUUUGGUGUAACAAAGGUAAAACAUGGUGGAUAAAAAGUACACUUCUAUUUAGUGAACCUCAGUUCACCGCACCUCUCAUUGUGAAAUUUGUAGGAAAUGGAAAGGGGAUUGAUGUUUCUAGGAGUUUUUGGAGUGGACGGCAUGACACGAUCUCAUAAUUAUGGUUGAAUAGAUAUUGAUUGAGAUCUUGCCAAUACCGCCCAUUCCAAUGAUCAUUUUUCUUUUUCCUUUUUCUUUGAGUUGUUGAAUCAGUUGCAUAGUGGGUUUCUUGGUUGUGAAUAAUAUAUUGGCUGAAAAAGAGACGAUGGAUCUGUAUGCUCAGCUGAAAUUGUGUUCAGAUCUAGGUUUUAUUUAGAAUUUUGAAUGAACUGACCCACUAACUGGACAAUUUUCAACAAACAGUGGGGGUUGAUUUUGCCUAAAUUUAAAAAGAAGGGUCUGAAAAAAUGUUAUAUAAUAAAACGCAGGUCCAGUAGAAUUACCUGAUAAUAUUAUGCUGAUGGAACGCAGUAGGUUUCGGUGGAAUUAGUUGGCUUUCUUGUUAGGACUUGUAGCUCCAAGUGAUGUUUCAAAAUUAGCUGGUGAUUAUUGAUUGAUAAAAGUUCAUUUGUCACACGUUUUUAUGUGUAAAAUUUGCAAGUAAAUAUGGUAGGCUGUGAAAAAGAGGUAGUUGGGUUGUAUGCUUGAGCUUGGAUUCUAUUGUGUUCUGGUUUUAUUAAAUGGUUAACUCUAUCUUAUUUGUUACCUUAUUUUCACUGUCCAUUAUUUGUUUCAGAAUAACAUUAGCCUGAGAAGAAAAGAACAAAAGUAUUCAUUUAGUAGAAAGGAAAGAUGAAGAGUACUAGCAGGACAGGAGGGUAAGCUUACAAUAUAUCUUUAUUGUGAUUACAAGGGGAAAAAAAUAGAAAGUGCAGCGUAUGUUGUAGCUGCACAACUAGCUCUCCAAAUCGAACAAACUGGAUAAAUCUUCAGCAAACAGACAGUUGAUUAUGUUAAAAUUAGGAUAAGGGACCGAAAUGCAUUUGAUGAAGUUCAAAUCCUGUUUCUGAAUGAAUCUCAAGUCAUAUCAUCUCAUCAUAUCAUUGUCCGUGAUUGUGACCCUUCUAAGGUGCUGAAAGGAUUUCACAACAAGUUCUAUAAUCACUAUAAUAUCAACUCAAAAGUUAAGUGCUUCUUCUUAAUGGCUUUGCCUUUUAUUGCUUUUGUGCAUGAUGGAAAGAAAAAGAUCUGAUCUUGGUGAAUGUAUAUAAUAAACUUCUGUGUCGAUUGAUUAAAUUAUUAUCUCUUGAAUUGUCUCCUCAUAUCAAUUUUCUUAUACUAGUAUUGUUUUAGCAUUUUGGCCAAUCUAUUUGUUUUCAUUUUGGCAAGUCUUGAUAUAGCAUUAGGCUAACUUGUCAAUCUGUGGGAAUUGGACAUGUCCUCACUAAAUACCUGAGUACCUGCAUAUGUACAUUUUAUCUUUCUUAGUGAUAUGCUGCCCUAUUUCAGUUUCUAGGGGAUUGUCUAACUGCUGAAGUUGAAAUUACACCUGUUAAUUUAGUUUAUUAUUAGUACUUUUCUUUUUUGGAUUAAUGAUUGCUGCACUUGGUUGAACUAGCGACAGAUAUAUGUAUAGCUAUACUUACAUACAUACUAUCCAUUCAAUUGAAGUUCUUUUACAGAUAACUUUCUUUGAAUGACUAAAAUCGAUUACUUCAAGAAUCACACUAUAGCUGUAAUAUCCUCUUCAUUUGUCGUGAACAUGAUAUUCUUUUAUCGAAUUAAAUUUGACAGGUAAGGCAAGUUCUCUUUGAAGUCCCUUGGUGGACAAAGCUUAUUGUGAAAGUUAUAGUGCAGCUGAGAAAUGCAGAACUAAGAAUGCCGCUAAGCUCUUACUAGAGUUUCUUUUGUCCUCUGGUAAACCAUUAAUCUCCACUGGUCUAUUCUUUUGACAUCUGCAGAAAGUGAGAACCAAGCUCUACGUUCGAACAAUAAGAGUUUCUACACAGAUGUUCAUUUUUCAUUUUUUCUUGUAUAUUGUUGUGGCCUUCUCCUGAUGUGAAUAAUAACUCUGCACUAUGAGUACACAUUAGUCGGGUGGCAAAAAGACCACGUCAACCCAAAAGGAACGUUAUGACCCAAAUUCUGUUUAGUCUUGAUGACACCUAACCAACCCAUCAAGCGAAUAGAUCAACACAAAUAUAGCCAAAACAUGAGAUAAUGGCAUAAAAAUAUGGUUUGGAUUGGAACUUGAUUGGAACAUGUUGGAAUUUUCAGGCACGAGUUAGAUUAGUCUGUUUAAAAGUAUCAAGUAUAAACUGGAGAGGGUCCUUGUGUGUAUGCUUACAUUGUUUUGAUAUUUUCAGUCUCUUCAUGAUGUCUUUGUGAUUUUUAUUAGCUAUCUAUCUUGGUUUAUCAUUCAGUUAGCAUCACACACAACCUGAUUCUGAUGUAACCUUUGGCGAGUUAAUAGUUUUUCAUUAUUGAUUCAGUACCGAGUAAGAUGUGUAGUUCAUAGACCAAUAGGUGUGUGGCAUGUGACUAAGUUCAGUCUGGGCACGAUGUGAUCUUUGGAAACUUAGUGGCUUCCAUUAUUGAGCUAGUGUUGAAUAAGUUAUGUAGUCCAUGGUCCGCGACAAGUGGUUAGCCUCGCAUUUAAUGCUUCGAAGACAGGACAAGACAUGAAGAUUAACUAUCCCAUGUAUUGGAAGCAGUAGCAAGGUACCUUUAGUUAUUUGAGAUUAUUGAAUGUAUUUAAUUUGGUACUUUGAUUUAAUGCUUCGCUAUAUUUAAUUCUAUAUGGUUUAAAUUAUCUCAUGUGCAAGAAUUUUCCUAGGUGCAAGAUGAGAGGGCGAGUAUUAUGAACUUGCUGGGUCAUUCGACUCACACUUACUAUUUGGUGCAGGACCUGUUGGGAGUGGUCCAGUAGAUUUCCAGAUCAUUUCGGUCAUGUUCAGCUGAGGCGUCUGUUGAUAAUGAAGGCGAGUUGAUUGGGAUGCCUUUGGCCACGGAUCAUAGUUGGUGUGGUGGCGUGAGCACAAAAAGGGAUACCUCAGUGUACUAAAUCUAAAACUACUGCUAAGGACGGAGUCUGUGAGCACAAAUCAUUAGAAUUCAAGAAUUCAAAGUCAUGAUUCUUUAUCACUCGAUGCACUCCGUGACAUUUUGGGUAGUCUCUUUAGGGGAACUUCUCGAUGGCUUCCUUCUUGCUUAGCCAUAUCAAAGAAUGCUUUCACUUCAACCUGUUCCAAAAAUUAAAGAGCAAUGGUAAGACGAAUGCUUUAUAUCAAUGUUGUAAUAUAUGGGUUAAACAUCUUCUAAACAUCAUAGAUAUCAAUUGUUAAGUGAUUUAAUCAUGGAUAAUCUUUUGAGGGAA